CGUCCGCCCGUCGCCGCAAACACCGCUCCCGUCUCCACCUCCCAAAAUCCCGCCGGCGGCAUGUCGUUCCACCGCGGCAGCAGCUCCGGCACCGGCGGCGACGACGGACCCAGUGCGUGGCCGUCGAGCCUGAGCACGCCAGAGACGGAGGAGCUGCACCGGUUCGGGCUCCUCGUGCCGCCGGGUUGCCGUCUUCCGCACGACUGGAAGCUCGACAAGGACGGCUACCCGAGGCGCGGGCCCGGUGCCACCGCGGAGGAGAAGCGGACCGGCGGCCGCAACAACAUCGCCGGCCGUCACGCGUUCUGGGACGGCAAAGACUACGCCGCCGUCAUCGGCGCGUACAGGCUGGCGGAGUCCGGCGUCACGCCUGACCUCGUCGGCGACCGUCGCCGCCUUCUUGUCCCGCGCCCCCAUCCAGCAGCGCGCGGCCGUCGGGCUCCUCCACCACCUGCGCCGGCGCCCGCCGAUCCCCCCGCCCCGCCGGAGGUGGAACUGCCACCGGAGCAGUUGGUUCUUCGGGAGGACGGCGAUCCCGACGAUACGCCGGGUUACCUCGUCGCCCUGCGCGCGUCGGCGGCUGCAGCGGCGGCUGCAGAGGCAGCGGCGGCUGCAAGGGAGGCCGCCGAGCAGGCGGCAGCGAUCCAGGCGGCGGCGGCGGCGAUUCCGCCAGUGGUCCCGCAGGCGGAGGCGGAGGCGCCGAAGUCGUCGGACGACGACGUCAUCGACUGGGAGCGGUUGGCCCAGGUCAGCGACGACGACGACGAGGGCGGGGGUGACGGCGGUCACGUCGGGGAGGUCAUCGAUCUGUUAGCGACGAGGAGGACUAGUUUUUUUUUAAUGUUCUAAGUAUGAACUAUGUAUCGUUUAUGUUUGGAAAAACUCGUCUGGUUUCGGUAAUGUUGAAUUGACUAUGUAAAAUAUAUCUAUGUUCAAUCUAGUUUGUUGGAGUCUUGUUUAAAUUUGUAUUCAAAAAUUGUUAAAAAAAUUAGCUAAAUAUAGAACGCUUAUUUUGAGAAAAAUUGAAAAUUUUCCGACCCAUGCAUAAAAAUGUUCAUAAUAUAUUUAAAAAAUUUGCAUCGAAUAUACAUAGCACAGAAUAAGGUAUACAAUUAUCAAAAAUUUGUAGAAUAAAAAAAAUCAUGAAAACACAUAAAAUAAAAAAUAAAAAGUGUAUGUAAAUGUUUAUAAAGUGUUUUAGAAAUGUUCAGAUUUUGUUUAAAUAUGUCCAUAUAGUAUAGCCGGUGGAUGAAAAAAUUGAAAUUUUGAAAUACAAAAUAUAACAUAUAAAGAAGAAAAAAAAUUAAAAAGGUGAUAUAUUUUAAUUCAUUAACAUUACCUGAAAUAUUAUUAAAUUCAUUAACAUUUAUGAAUCAGAGAAUAUUUUUAAAUUCAUUAACAUAUAUGAAUGAAUACAAGAAUUUUUAAAUUCAUUUACAUUUUC
rnacentral:lncRNA from 1 species